rnacentral:misc_RNA from 1 species
UCAAAAGUCAAGUCGGGGGCUGCAAAGCCUUCGCCUACACCCAUGUCUUUUGCGUACUUCUUGUCUCCUCGGUGGCGCAAGCCGCCGAUUGGACAAACCAAAACCUUUUUUGUAAUUGCAAUCAGCGUCUGAAAAUAAUCUAAUUAUUUA